rnacentral:lncRNA from 1 species
GCCUUAUCUAUACUCUGCAACGUCACAACUACCCACUUUGGCACCGUAGGCGACUUGAUCUCUAUAUAUCAUGCCAAAUCAGAAGCAAGAACUCGCUCAAGUACUUAUUUUUUAAUAUAGUGCACUCGAAGCUAGCAAAGAUCUUUUCUGACUUGAAGAAUAUGAAAACUCUUGCUGGCGCAGGUAUUUAGGCCUACUUCAGUUUCUUUUUUGAGAAGGGCCAACUUCAGUUGAAUAUCAUUUAUAAUUCUUUUUUUAAUAUAUGCAUUUAUGAAUAUAUUUUUCAAUAUAAAAUUUUUAGGUAUGAGCGAUCCGUCAGAAGGUUUGGUACUCCCUUCUAGUAUUGCUGAUGAUGAUGUUGGAAAUGACAAUCUUGAUCUUAUUGUUAUUCCUCAAUAUGGGAGAAAUCCUGAUUAUUAUGGGUAAGUGUCUGCAAUCUGGAUGAUGAUAUAUGUAAUUAAAUAAAAGGAUGGGUACAGUUAUUACCUAUCAAUCAUAAGAGUGUCAAUUUAGUUCAGUUCACUAAUAAAAAUCUCUUAUACAAGAGAUUAUCUUUGUUUGCGUUCAUGUACUUUGUCUUCUUUAAUUAAUAAAUAAAAUUAUUGUGUAUCAAUGUGUUGAUUAAAUUAGUCCAUUAAUAGAUAUAAAAUCAUUUGAAUUUGUCCACAUAUUAGUUUAGUUAAUUGUGCUCUCUUUCUUCUUGAAUAUUUGUCAAACAAAGUCUACCUAUUAGUUAGCUAAUAAUCGCAGCUCGCAGGGAACCAAGAUCUUUAUAAUUAAUUACGAACGUUUAUGCUUCUUAAAUGGCUUGUGUCAUCGUGAUAAUGCCAUUACAACCUGUUAUAUAUAUAUAUAUAUAUAUAUAUAUUCAAAAGCAUUCCAACUCUAUGAACCUUCUAUUACACAAUUUUCAAAUGGUAUAAACAUCUAUUUUAAUUAGAGUAAAAUGUUGCUUGUUAGAAUGGCCCGUGAGUCAAUCUAAUUUGCGCUGGGACAAAUUAAUAGAACUUUAAAACUUUUCGACGGGUUUUGAUAAGACUUUAACUUGUCAAACCGUGGGUUGCUGUACGACGGGACUUGAAAAAAAACAUGUUGAGUUCUUUAUAAUUAAUGUUUAAAAUAUUUCAUUAAUUUUAGAGAAUAUUAAAAUAAAAAAUAAGUAAAUUCACGUUGAUCGAGAAAAAUACUGAAAUAUCGAUGCGUGUUUAGGACGAUAUAGAGGAUCUAUUUGAUCACAUUUAAUUCGCAUGCAACAGUAAUUCUGUCACAUUCUAUCACAGAUUCACGAAAGCUUCUCAUCAAAGUAUAGAAACAGAAAACUGUAAAAUUUAACGGGGGAAAACCUAUUAAACAAGAAAACAAAGCAGCCCCUCCGUACUGUGAAAUUACUUGCAAGCCAGUUGCGGUUGAGUUUGGGAAUGAGGGGCUGAGUUUGAGAUAAAUGGAGGGGAGAUAAGUUUGACUAAAAGGGGAUUCACAGGAAGACUUUAAGGGAGAAGAGACGAGUUUGAGAAAAAUUAGGAUAGAGAUUUAGAGGAGAUGAUUUGGGGUCUCAAAUUAACUAAUCCAUUCUUACAAUCACACAAACCGAUGGAAACCCAUUCAGAUUUUGAAAUAAUGAUGGUGACAUUAGUAGCUUAAGCCAAAACAUAAUUUAAAAAUAACAUAUAUAUAUAUAUAUAUAUAUAUAUAUAUAUAUAUAUAUAGUCAUUCUCUAGUGUAGGUAUCUUCAUUUAUUUUUCAUGCGAACACAUUUUAAAACCGCGGAGUUUAAGAGAGUUAGUUUUUAACUCUUUAAAACCGCAUAGUUUAAAAGUUUAUCCGUAUUAAAAAAAAUACGGGCGUCCGCACCUGAGAAUGAUUUUAUAUACACACACGUAUAAAGUAAUUUUUUAAUUGUGAAUUAUCAACCAUAUUAAAGUCAAGAGAAAGUUUAUAAAAAAAACCACCGACGCUAAUACAACGUAUUUUGUUGUGUAAUGUUUUGAAAUAUUCCUGCAAAUAAAUGGAUACUGAAAAUGAUCAUAUUAUUUUUAGUGAUUAAUGAUUCUUAUCGAGUAGAUUCCUGAUCUAUGAAAUGACUUACAUGAGCAUAUUCACCCUUUGGGAGUGGGAAACAAGUAAAAUUAUGUGUGCUAGAGGAGCCAAUAUCGAAGAGUUUAAGUCUAUGCUUCUCGUAAUCAAUUUCCAUAUCAAAACAAAAUGGAGUUGAUGAUAAUCUUGAUUUUACUAAAAAAAAAAAGGAAUAAUAGAUGUCUCAUUAGAAAAUAUUAAUGUGCCAUAUAUAUAAUAGUUCAAUCAUGUAAAAAUACUUGAAAAAUUAAUCUUGAGAAUGCAAAAUAAGAACUAUAGCAAGCACCUCUACAGGCAUAAAUUAAAAGAAUUGCAACGUGUACAUGAAGACUGCUAGACAUAGAAAAAAGUGAUAAAAAAAAAAACUGAUAUAUGAUAAAGAGCAUAAUAGAGAUAGUUGUUAUUAGGGAUGGUAAAAUUCUCCAUGGGUUGGGGUUCUCUAGGGCUCCAUGAUACAAACUCUUAAAAUAAUUAAAAUUAUUUAUUUUAUUUUAUGGUAUUAGUUAAUUUUGAACUAGUCAAAAGUAGUUGCACUUAUUUUGUGGAAUUACAUGUAAGUAAUGGAGCAUUAUGUGAAAACAAGCCCAAUGUUACUAAUUUUUAGGUUGUAAUCUUAAAUAAGCUUUAUUAUAUAAAGCUUGAUGUUAGUCAAUGAAAAGUAUCAUGAGUUAAUUAUUUGGCAACAUAAAAGUUGUAAUUGGGAGUUUAUUGGUUUCUCGAAUAACUAGUAUUUAUUUGGAGAUUUGGGUUUCUUCAAAUUAAUCCCAUUUGUCAUCUAAUUUUUUCUGUUUCAUUUGAUUUCUCCUUAUAAACAGUAGCAUUCGUAUCAUUCCACCCCAAAUGGGGUGAAUUUUGAAUAAUUUUUGGAGAAUGAGGUGGGGAAUUAGAGAAAAAUAAUCUCCAAAUUCUUAAUAAUAUGGGGUUUGAUUUUGUACUUCCCACUCCACAGUCCACACCCACUCCAGUCCCCAUUACAUAUAAAUAUUUUUUAAUUUUUAUUUAAUAAAUUUUUUAUCAAUUACAAUGUCAAUUAAUAAUUUUUUUUAUUUUCACUUGAUAUAAAUGAGUUAUGACUAAAAGAAAACCCUAUAAUAUAAUUUUUAUUCAACCCUAAAACAUUGUUAUAUUUUCUUUUCUAUCUUAAAAUACCACUCUCUUCAAACAUUUUUCAAUUUUGAUAUUAUUUUAAGAUAUUGUUUCAGACAUUUGGAGAUUUUUUUAAAUAAUUUGAAUACUUCAUAAUAUAGUAAUGAUUUUAUUGAACUCUUUAAUUUUUAAUUUAUUGAAAUCAUAUAUCUAUAUCUACUAUAAAAUAAAAAUAAAUGGGGAAUGAGGAGGGAUGGGGAUGGGGAUGAGGAAAUCAUUUCUCAUGUGGGGAUUCCUUAUACCCACCCCACUAAAUUCAUUGAGAAAUGAAGUGGGAAUUAGAGGCAAAAUUUUUAACACGGUGGGGAAUGGGAUAGCCUUCCUACCCCCACCCCACCCCAUUGCCAUCUCUAGUUGUUAGAUGGUGGAUAAUUUUACAUAAAUUAAUUGUAUUAAACUUAUUAUCCGAAUAAAAUUGUUUUAAAUAAAAUUUUAAUAAAUGAAAUUUUGGAAAUAUGUAAUAUUAUUUUUAAUAAUAGUGAUACACAAACUCGUCAAAAUUAAUUUGUCAAUCAUCUGUAAAUUUUACCAACUCUAUAGUUCAAUUAACAUUUUUCUAAACCUCAUUUUAUAUUUAUCGCUUUUGAAGAUUAAAAUAUCAUGAUUUAUUAUGUCCAUAUAAGUAAUUUGAUAACCUCAUUUCAGUAUAUCAGAAUAUCAAGAUUUAUUAGGUCUUUACUUGCGCUUUUGGCUGCAAGAGCCUUCGCCAAUUGAUCAUUUUAUGGGGUUUGACAUAGCCACAAAAUUAAGAUAAAGGUUCAAAGACAGUAUUACAGGUUCAUCCACCAUAAAACAAAUGAUAUUUUGAAAAGAAAAUUAAGACCCUAUUAGUUAAUUUGUCUCGUAAUUAAUUAUUGUCGACAAGCCAUCACAAACUUUCUUCAAUUAUUCCUACUUUUCUAAAAAAAUCUUUAAUGAUAAAAUUAUUUGCACUCUAAAAAUUAUUCUUUAACAUUAUUUUAAUAAAUUAUUUUAUGAGUGAUGAUACAGCCACAAACUCUUGUACAAACUUAUUUCGUACAAACUGAUGUGGCAUCAAUUCAUUGGUUGAAUGAAAAUACAAAAUAAUGAAAAUAAAUCAUGUGGGCCAAGAGAUAUUUAAUUUAACCAAUUUUAUCAUGCCACAUCAGUUUGUACAAAAUAAGUUUGUACAAGAAUUUGUGGCUAUAUCAUUACUCUUAUUUUAUUACAAAAAUACUCAUCAUAUGAAUUAUUGACAAGGAUUCUCUCUUAUAGGCUAAUAUAAUAUAAUUAUUCUGAAUACUCAUAUGGCAUACUCACUAUUCAAUAUAUAAUUUCUCUUGUCAUAAAUCCUAAAAAUCUUAUUUUCAAUCUCUUGAAUAAUGUUUAAUUAAACAAGGAGCAAAUCAAUACUAAAAAUACAUUUUGAACAUAUUUUUGCUUGUUAAUUUUUUUUAAAAAGUAGUUUUUUUAAAUAAGCAUUUAAUUCAGAAGAUGCAUGCUUGGAGUUAUGAUUUUGGAUGUAGAGAAGAUUUGAUCGGAAACGAGAAAUGGCGGCAGCAAGCUUAUUGAAUCGUCGUUCUGCGAAGAAGAGUUUGCUUUUUGCUGUUUCUAGUGGAAUGUCACUUAAUAAUCAAAACAGGCUUCUUCUUCUUUCUUUUUUAAAACCUAUAGCUUUAUGGUUUAUGCUUAGUAACAAAAAAAGAGUCAAAUAUCAGUGGUCUCUAUAACUAACAGUGAGCAAGAUUCGAUUUUGAAAAAUCUUGUACCAAUUUGCUUUUGUGCUAUUUUAUAUUCAAUUGACGAAAGAAUUAAUGCUGUAACUGCUACCCUUGUGUCGAUGACUACAUUAAUAAUGCCCCCAAAUUAAAGCCCACAUAAAAUUAAAUAGUAUACUCUAGCAAAUUAAAUUAAGUCAUAUUGUAAGGUAUCAAGAAUUAAAUAUUCUAUUAGCAAAGUCAAAACGUGAAAUCUAUCCAAACCAAGCCCACCGGUUUGUCCAUGAAAAUUAAUUAUUUCUUCAUUAUUAUCGAAUUAAUAUCUUCACUUGAUAACAUGGUUUACGAGGUAGGUCGCACAUUAAUUAUAUGAUUACUUCAUAGUUAUCCAAUAUCUUCGUACACCUUUUAUGACUAACCUAUUGGUCUAUCCAAAUUAAUAGUCACUUAAUUUAUUGUGGUCCAAUAUCAUCACUUGAUAAGAUUAAAGCAUAUAUACCCACAGCCCCCUAUAUGCCUCUUAAUUAUAUAUCAUGACUUUGUCCAGCAAGAGAGAAAGAGAGAAAGGGUAGGACUCUUUUCGAGCUUUUACAAAUCUACGGUAGAAUAAGAUGAUUUAAGUAAAAAUAAUUUAAAAAAAAAAAACCAAAUACCAAAAUUAACUUUCAAAAUUUUAAAAUUAUUUUCUGCCAUCUCAAAAACAGUGUCAAAUGAAACCUUUUAUCCAACUAAAAAAAAAUAGUGAAAAGUAGUGGGAAUUUUAUUAACCGCACAAAUCAUAAGUCAAAAAAUAUGAACAAAAUAGUUUGUUCUUCGGAACUCUAAUAAAUUGGAGGCAUGUGCUGCCCGAAACCAAAUGAUGCAUCAAGAUUUGUUCUUUGAAAAAUAAAUUAAUUUGUUAGUAGAUAGUUGCGUGUUUUACUUUCAAAAAAGGCUAAAAUAAUUUCAGGCCUUGGAUGCAUCUAACGGCUGAAAUCAUAAUAUCAAGAUUUAUUCUUAAGUCUUUGUUUGAUAUCAAGAUUUUUGAUUCAACCGCACAAUUAAGUUAAAGUUUCGUAUGCAGACUAUUAGGGAUUCAUCCAGGUAUGCAACAAACAGAUGAAAUGAUAUUUUGAAAAGAAAAUUAAUUUGUCUUGUAAUUAAUUAUUGCCGGCAAACUUUAUCUCAAAUCGCACACUUCUUUUCAAAUAUUAUCUACUUUUCUAGACUCUACGAUUACUGUCUACAUUUUUCAAUGAAUUAUUGCUCGGUAACUAGUUUUUUUACAAUCAUUUUUUUCGCGGACCAGAUCGUGUUUCGCACUAAUUGCAAUCAUUUAACCAUAUAUGGCCGUUAAUCGUACCCAGCCAUUGCGCGAAAAAACAUCAGCCGUUGAUCGUUUAUCUGUACAAUUUUUUAAUAUUUAUAAUAUUUUACUUAUAAAUCAUGAUUUUCCUUAAAGUUGUGGAUUCCUCCACUGAAUAGAAAUGGUUGUGAUUUAUUUGUCAAUUCAAAAGUUCCAACAGUAUUUCAAUGUUGUGCAUUUUCAGCUAAUUAGUCAAAGAUAAUCUAGUGCAUCUUCAGAAUUUUUAUCCCUAAAUUUACCAUUACACAUUAUUUCAACAACCUAUCUACUUUAGGGUAUCAAGCUCUUGUAGAAAUAAAUGACCAAUCACCAAGUUUCAAAACCAUGGUGUGGACAUAUGUUAAGCAAUUCUUUAAACCCAUCCCAACAUUGGUAUAAUGUUUCUCCAUUUUUUUUAGUGAAAUAAGUGAUUUGCCUUUUAAAAGAAUUGGUUCUAUGAGGUGGAAAGAAUUUUUUCAAAAAUUAUUCUUACAUGUUAUUCGAAGUUCUUAUUGAUUCAGAUCUAAAGUUUUAUAGCCAAGUUUUAGCUUUAUUUUUUAAUGAAAAAAGAAAAAGUUUCAACCUAACUAUGUUCAUGCUACAAUUUUGGUUUAUAUAUGUAUUACAAACUUCCUCAAAGAUGCAAGUAUGGAUUCUCAGAUUCUAAACCAUGAAAUGUUGGUAAAAGUUGGAUAAUACAUGGUUUAAAGUUGAAUCGAGAAGCCUCUGGAGGUAGGGGUGGCAAAUAUACCCGCCCAGUCUGGAUCCGGACCGUACUCGGGCGUUUUGGGCAUCACUUGAUAAACCCAGAACCCGGAUUUUAUUUCAAAAAAUUAUUAGAAAAUAUAUAUUAUUUUAAAUAUUUAUAUUUAUUUGACUCAUUUAUUACACAUAUAUAAAGUUUUAAACACUUAAAGUUCAUAAUUUCAUGUCAAAUUUUAUUAAAAAUAAAUUUAAAACUUAUAAAAUUACCAAAAAAAUACACAUAUAAUAUUAAAAAAAUAUAAAAUUCGGGUACCCGGAUUAAAGCCCAGCACAACCCGGCCCGGGCAUCUAUGCAUCCGGGUCGGGUCCGGUCAUUGCGAUACCCGGACCCGGGCCAGGGUUUUGCCAACCCUAUCUGGAGGAAAUACUAUACAGCUCCGAUUCUAGUUGGAUUCAUGUAGUCUCUCAAGAUUCUUCGUCGAUUCUGAUCACGUCCAGGUUGAGACUGAUUGUCUCCCUGAUAAAUUUGAGGAUUAGGUUCGCCCAAAAGUUUUUCAUCUUGGAUUUCGUCCAUAAUUAGUGAUGGAGAUUGAGAUCUACGAAUUAACCUGCCACCUGAAGUUCGAGACCAAUGUGUCAUGAAAUGGUUAUAUCACAAAGGUAAUAUUCAAAUAAAUUAGUAACAAAAGAACUAAAUGAAAAUUGCACAAAACAAAAAUAAAAAUUAAAUAUGCAAAUAAUAAGAGGAUGAAUACCCCGAAAUCUGGGUUGUGACUUUUGAUCAUUGUCGCAGCAUGAAGUUUGUUGUGACCUCUAGUUCACAUGCACUCUGUUUUUGUAGUUGCCGCAUGUCAAUGUUAUUGUAGUUCCCUUUUUAGGCUAUAUCUUGUCUAGUUGUCUUUGUGCUCGAAAGUGUGAACUUAGUCAGCGUCGAUAAAUGGAGUGCUUUUGCAUGUUACUUUUUAAUGAAUGGUGGAAACAAUAAUUCAUAAGCAUCUUAGCAUAACAUUUUCGCUCAAUUAAUGCAUAUCAAUAGCGGUUUACUCAUGCUCUGUAUGUGACGCAUUUCUAGGAAGCUUAUAUAUGGAGUUCAUUCGUUUCUGAGGUAUGCUAGAUUUGCAUGGGAAAAAUGAUAAUUUUGACCUGUUUAUUGUCCCUCAAUAUGGGAGAAAUCCUGACCAUACUGGUUAGGUACAUGUAAUAUUUGUUUAUUGCCCUUUAAUAUGGGAGAAAUCCUGACCAUACUGGUUAGGUACAUGCAAUAUUAAUCUUUCGUUUUAUGUUUAAUUAAAUAAAAGGAUAGGUAAUGUUAUUACUUAUGAAUCAUGUCAGUGCCAUUUUGGUUCAGUUCAACUAUUAAUAUCUCUUAGAAUGUUAAAGAAAUUAUCACUGUUAGUGUCCAUGUACUUCGUCUUUUUUAAUAAAUAAAAUUAUCACGUGUCAAUGUGUUAUUUGUUUUGAUCUUUCAACAAAAUUCAGUUUAAUUAAUUAUGCCCUCUUUCAUCACGAAUGUGUGUGUGUAUAUAUUUGAAAAAACUAAAACAAUGAGGGGCACUAUAACUUUUUAUUUGCCAAACAUGGGAUUGUGUAAAAUUAAUACAAUGAGAGGCUUUAAUACAACAACCAAACAAGCUCUUAAGGGAAAAGGACACACACCCCCAUGCCUAAUAUUUAAUAAAGCGACAGAUAUAUUUGUUAAUUUAUAAAGUUUAUUAACUAAUAAAUGCCAAAUAUACUAAUUUUUAUUGUAGUAUAAGCCCAAGUUCAUGGUAGAGAAAACAGGCCUAGGCCCUUUGUAGGAUUGUCCAAGUUGGAACAGGUCGAACUUAAGACUUUUUUAACAAUUCAAUAAAAUAAAACAAUAGCUAAAAGGUAAAAACAACUUAAGUUAAAGAGGAUUUUAUUAAUUUUUUCUCUGUUCAACUAAUUAUACAACAAUAUUUAUUUAAAAAAAAUUGAAAUAGCCUCCAACAAAAAAAAUGAAUUUUACAAAAAUUUACAGCCUACAAAAUGUAGGUUCAAUUGUUCAACAUAGCAUUACUAUAACAAUAAUAAUAAUAAAAGACAUAAUUAGCAUCAGAUUCCAAAUCCAAUAAUCCAAUUUCCAUAAACACUAUCACACUAACAUUUUUUUUCUUUCUUAUUUUUCCAUUCCAUUUUUUUCAAACUUAAUUCGUAAAUUAAAUUUAAUUAUUUAAAGAAAGAAUACGUUUGAGAUUUGAUGCACAAAACAUAUAUAAAUUAUUCAUAAUUUCAAUAUUAGGAAAUAAAUGUUUAGGGGGAUUGAAUUGAUGUCCAAAAUUCAAAUGGCCUAAAUAUGACCCCUUUAUAUAUAUAUAUAUAUAUAUACAGUUAUAGAAUAAUUUUUCAAUGCUGAAUCAUUGACUAUAAAGUCAAGACAAGGUAAAAAAAAAAAAUCAACGUUAAUACAACGUAUAUUGUCGUAUAAUGUUUUGAAAAAUUCCUACAAAUAUAUGGAAACUGAAAAUGACCAUAUUAUUUCUGGCGAUUAAUGAUUCUUGUGGAGUAGAUCCCUGAUCUAUGAAAUGACUUACAUGAGCAUAUUCACCCUUUGGGAGUGGGAAACAAGUAAAAGUAUGUGUGCUAGAGGAGACAACAUUGGGGAGUUAAGUCUGUGCUUCUCGUAAUCAAUUUCCAUAUCUAAAGAAAAUGGAGUUUAUAAUCUUGCUUUUACUAACCUCGUUAACUACUUUGUGAACAAGUUUUUGAUAGACAAAUCUCAAACAUCCAGUGUUUGAUUUUAAGGCCUUUAAGUUUAUGUACUUUCCAUAUUAGGAUCAAUGUCAGAUCUUUAACAACUUUUUUAGAUUUGUAAGUACCUUGGUAUCUUUAGGCCUUCAAUUAUUAAUUUCAGCAAAAAGGUUGAGAAGGAGGAAUUUCUUGAAGAUACGGAGCUUUAUCGUGAUCCUACCACUACACUUCACUAGUAAUAUACUCUCUAAGAUUCUUUUAUUGACAUUGUUUGUUCAAUCCCUUCUUAACCUUCUAGGAUACGACUUUCCUCUUAUUAUACUAUUAAAACAUUUAAUCCUUGAUAUAAAAACAUUUUUAUAGGCCCGAAGUCAGUCCUACAUCAAAAUGCAGAUCUUCAGAAAUAAAUGUAAACCUCUGUUGUUUCAAAAAUUUAAUUCAUGUUAUUUUUCUUUUAAAUUUAUGGUGAUUUGCAGUUCAAGAGUAGUCGUUGGCAUUGUUAUGAUACUAUGAUAGCAGUGCAUGCAGCAAAAGAAAAACAAGUAGCCGGGUAACUAAGCUCCUUGAUUAGUUAUUUUAUUUUUUGUUUGCCUCUAGUCUAACUACAAUUGCCAAUUGUAUGCCCCAAAAUGGUUGCAAUGGUUACAUCUCGAGGGGAGACUUUCGUAGUGAACUUCAACAUUGAAUCCAUAAUCAGAUAGUUCGACUGUAAAGAUUUCCAGCAAAUCACCAUGAAAAUCCACCUUUAUUAAAAUCUUGGCAAAAUGGCCAUACUUUUUCUCUCUUAUUGCCUGAUGAAUUUGCAAAGAAAUGCCAACUUCUCUAGCCACCGUCAUCAGAAUUCUAGGAUGCCAGUACUCCACUCUGGGAUCAUAUGUUCUUAAGGACGUGACUGGAUAGUUGGCUCACAAAGGUUGAAAUUCCAUCACCAUUUGUAUAAGCGAAAGAACCCCUGAGGUAGUUUAUAAUAUUGGGGCAAGAGAAAACAUUUGGUGAAAACCAUCACCUAUAAACUCAGGAAUAUUCAUGUUGUAUUAUCAAGAAUCAAUAGCAUAAUUAUGCGGAAGCGUAUCUGAAUUCAUAACGCUUAAUUCCUCUCUAGAGUAGCGUGGUUGGCCUUUCAGAUCUACACGUUCUCCUAUAGAGUCCUUUAGUUCUCUCUACGCUCUCUCUCUAAUAAUGAGAUAUCAUAAAGAAUGGAAAGAAUACAUGUAACCUGAGGACCAUAACCACUUAUAUAGACAACUUAUUCCAGUUGUCACAUGAUAUUCAUAAUUCUGCCUAUCAUAGAAUUAGAAUAUUAUUGGGUCCUACACAUUAAGGCUCACACUAUAUUAGAUACAUUAAAGCUCAUAAUACCGAAAAUCUAAAUAGAUCACUUUUAAUUGAGCUUAACCUUAUACAACAGUCUGCAACACAUAAUUAUUCACAUAUAAGCCCAACGUUGGAUUAAGGAUCCAACAAUAUUGAAUUAAAAAAUCCAACAAUCUCCCACUUGGGCUAUAUGUGUAACCUUAUAAUUAUGUUUUGCAAAAAUAACCAUAUGAGCUCAACCUUACUGUCAUUAUAGAAAUAUAUAUAUAACUAAUCCGGUCCAUAAAUCAUACUAACGUAAGAUUACCCGUACCUCUAGCUUUUACACAAUAACUACAGAACAAUUAUAUUUCAACAUAAGUAUAAGAAAAGGUGCACGCAUAAGUACACAGAAUGGACUGUAGACCGUAAUAUCCGGAUUCAUAAGUACAAGAGGCAGAACUACAGAACAAUUAUAUUUCAACAUAGCAUCAUUAUCUAAGAAAAGGUGCACGCAUAAGCAUUAUACGAUGAAGCCUACUUGCUUAAUUUAUAAUGGAAGGAAAGCCAACCAUGAUGACUCGUCUGCCAUAAUGUUUAAUGUCAGAGAAAAAGAAAAAAUUAUUUUGCUAAUAUGCAUUCUUCUUAGUUCUAAGACUAUCUAUCAAGAAAAUUGACUUCAUUAAGAUCGUUGCCUUUCAAAGAAUUCAUCAACUGUACAAAAAGCAACUUCGAACAACCAUUAAAUGCUCUAUUGAAAAAUCAAUAUCAUAGGUCCGCACGUUUAAUAUUUUCAUUCCUGGCAACAGAGAAAAAGACUGCACCUCUCCCAGAGUCACGUCCUAAGAUAGUUGUCCAAAGCCAAUGCAGUUUCUACCACGUCUUAUGUCUCGACGAACAUGAGCUUAUACUGCAUUAUUUCCUGCAAGAAGAAGGCCAUCAGGUUUCCCUCCCAAGAAAACAUGAGCUUCUACUUAAAUGUGAAUUAAUUAUCAAGUUAUAACAGAGAAAAACAAAGAAAAGAUGCCAAAAUGUUUGAAGACAGACUGAUAAACUAAAAGGAGACGAGUGGCAAUUAUUUCAUCCAUGUACAAGUAACUGAGAAAAAAACAUACAAUCCCAUCAGGGACAACGGAGGCCAUCUCCACCAAGAGCUUUCCAUAAUUAAUUUAUAAACAUACAAUCUCAUCAGGCUUUAUGGCGAGUGAAGCUUCACGGCAGCUAAGCUGCAACCGAAAUGUCAAAUAAACAAAGAGAUCAAUGGAGAUUUUAGCAUAAAAAUUAACAGCUUGUGAAACAAAGAUGACAGCAUAACAAUAUGCACUAUUUUUACAUCAGAAGCCAUAGUAUUGCAUCAGCAGUGGAAGGCGACAACUAACUAAAGAAUGAUGAAACUCAUUUUUCAUAGCAAAAAUAAUGAUAUUGAAUCCAAGCACAAUAAAUAUUAUUAACUUCAGAUAAGCCAUCUAGCUAAAAUAGCAAAAUAAAUAUGUUAGCACUCUAAUAGCUCAAGAUACAGAGCUACCAAAGCACUGCCCAAGAUUUCUUGCUCACAAACUGCCUCAACUAUCAGCUUUAUGCCAGCUGAUAUACACUCCAGUUUACACAGAUUAAAAAGCCACGUGUAUAACGGCCUCAUAACAGAUUUGAUUCCCUUCUCACGUGCGUUUUCACGUGCUUUACUUAAACCAGCUUAAAACGAUCUUGGAUGAUGCCGUUUUAAACAGUAAGUUGAGCACAUGUUUAGCUCGUGACUUCUUGAGGCAUUUGAACCCAAUCUGAAACGCUUCCGUUUAACCCUUCAAGUUUUGUAUUCAGCAGAUUAAUCCACAAAAUCAAAUCUGGAAACCGAACGAAGGCCAUUCAAAUUUUUUCGGAAGACCUUAAAAUUGAACAUUCUGGAGGCAAAGGGAAGUAAAACACGUUCCAAAAUUUCGUACCUGUCUGUAAAACCUCCGUCAAAAUAUGAACAAAGUUUGCCCUGUAGCUUUUUCCAUCUUUUUUAUUUUUUACAAGACCAAAACUGGAUAACCGAGGGUCACCAUCCUGCGAUGAAAUGAAAAUUAAUUAAUGAACCUGUACAAUCAAAUGCAUAUGAACAUGCUGAAAAAUCAUAUGAAGCAGCCACAAGUUCCCUGACCUAUAUAUUUCUCCAGUAAUUAAAAUUAUUCUUAUAGAAGCAAUGAAAUGAUUAGCAGACUUUUACCUUUCAGUUUGCGUACAAGUCCCCUUACCCAUGUAGUCAUCCUCACUCUUUGCAUAAAUGUAUUGCAACUCCAGCAAUGACCCUAAUCUUGUAAGAACAGGAAUGUGUAGCAAUCGAUAGUCUGGUGAUUCACUGCCAGCUUAGCCAUUCUCAUUUCUCUGACCCUGUGGUUAUUUCUUAUGUUUAUGCUAGCUGCCUUAUGUCUAUUCGAGAGGAUCUAUGGGAUGCCGUAGUGACAUACUUUCAUAGCCAUGAUCGCCCUUGGAUUGUUGGUGGGGGACUUUAAUGUUGUUCAGUCUGUUUCGGAGAUUUCUGGUGGGCAUAACCAACCCUAGGGAGCUAUUGAUGCUUUCAACCUAACAUUGGUGGAUUGUGGGUUGGAGGAUGCUGGGUUCGUUGGUAGCCCAUAUACUUGGACUAAUGGACAUGCUUGGAGGCGGCUUGAUCAGGUGGUCUGUAAUGCUUGUUGGUCUGAUUUUUUCUCGUCGUUUCAGGUUACUCACCUGAACCGUACAGCUUCGGACUAUUCUCCUCUGCUCUUUUCCUGUGACAAGGGUGCGACUAAGGGACCUCCCAGAUUUAAAUUUUUGCAUACUUGGCUCAGACAUCCGGGUUUCUUUGAUGUUGUGACUCAGUCUUGGGAUUCUCCAGUGGUUGGUUUCGGGAUGCGGGCAUUCCAACAGAAGCUUGUCCGUCUGAAGAAUUGUUUGAAAGCUUGGAACAAGGAAGUGUUCGGCAAUGUCUUUUACAGAGUGAAAGAAGCUGAGAAGGACAUAGCUCGGAAGAAGAGGCAGUACGACCUUUCUGGUUCUGUGGAGGAUAGGGUUAUGUUUUCAGAGGCCAGGGCUCAUUUGCAGCAUGCCUUGUUGUGCGAGGAGAGUUUCUUGAGACAGCAGUUCAAUGUCCGAUGGGUCCGAGAGGGUGAUGCCAAUACCCGCUUUUUUCAUGCGAUAGUUCAUUUUUAUCAAUGUCCUUUUGAUCAGAAAUUCAUGAAGAUUUCAUCCAUUAGUUUUUUUGUGGCCCAUUUAGUAGUGGCUGCAUUCUGUUUGUUGAAAUGUCUUAGAGAAGCUUGCAAGUUGCAAUACUAACAAGCUUAAUGAGCUGGAGAUAAAGUGGCAGUGAGCUGGAGUUAAGCUGACAUGGAGCAUGAAUCAGCAUUGUCUUAAGAGCAAUCCAGAGUUAGUUAGAGAGAAAGUAAAAGCAGAGGAAGAAGACAAUGAUCAUGUGAUAUAUGUACAGUACAAUAGCAGUAGCCGUUAGAUCAAUUGAUUUACAACCAUUACACCAUAAGCUUGCUACCCCAGCUAUGCACUGAUGCAUUAAUAGAAAAGAAAGUGAAUGAAAAAGAUGUGCUGUGCUCAAUCAAUUAAUCCUUUUGCGUCUGCCACCAAAACUUAAGGUAGUUAGAAAUUUUUUAACUAGUCAAAAUACCAAUAUUUCCAAAAGCUUUAAGCUUAUGGGACAACCAGUUGCUCAACAUCGACCUUGAUAUCAGAACCAAUCCGGAUGAGGAGUCAGGUGUUCGAAUUCCAUCAUUCAAAAUUGCCUUAUAAUUCCCGCGCUUUCUUGGCAAGAAAAGGCAGUGGAGGCCUUUUAUUAACCAUAAGGGGUGGAUUAAUUGAUGGAUUAAAAUCUUUUGGCAGUCAUUAUUUUACUGGUUGGAAUUUCUUUAUGUUCUACUAUUAAUGAAUUUUCCUUGCCAUUUUUAAGUCUGUGAUAUAAGUGUUCAUAAUGGUGCGUUGUCGAUGUAGUUCUCUCCAGCGAAUCAUGUGUUGAUGCACAUAUUGAAAAAGAGGUAAAGAAUCUAAAUUUCCUGCUUCACAGUGUAGAUGAUAGAAUUUUUCAGUUUAAAACGUGAGGAGUUUUAGUUCACAUGCACUCUGUUUUCGUAGUAGUCUUAAGAUAUGUUGUCACUUGUCAGUGUUCUUGUAGUUCCCUUUUAAGACUACAUCUUGUCUAGUUGUCUUUGUACUCAAAAGUAUGUAGUUAGUGGCGAUAAAUGGAGUGCUUUUGUAUGUUACUUUUUAAUGAAUGAUGGAAAAAAUAAUUCAUAAGCAUCUUAGCAUAACAUUUUCACUCAAUUAAUGCAUAUCAACAACGGUUUACUGAUGCUCUAUAUGUGACUCAUUUCCAGGAAGCCUUUAUCAGGUAUGCUUAACUCAUUGAAAACUUAUUAUUUUUCAUGUUUGGGCCAUCACAACAUUGACAUUGUUGAUGCUGUUCGUGUCUUUCUCACUGUACAUAAGAAUGUAAACUCUUUUUGGAAGGUAUAAGAUCAAGAUUCUGUUUGAAAUCUUUACCAUCAGCUUGCUUUUCAUUUGGUGGAUACUACUAUCGAUAAUGUCAUUUUUGUCAUCACAAACAUAACGCCUACUCUUCAUCUGUACAAAUCACCAUAAAUUUAAAAGAAGAAUAGACAUUAAUAAAUUUUUGGAGCAACAAAAGUGUAUAUUAACUAAUCUUCAUAUUUUUAAUAAUAAAAAAUAAUUUUUGACCCUUAGCAGCUGCUUCAACUUGAAGUUGACCUUCCCAACAUUUCCAACUGACAUUUUGUCCAUCGAUUGUUACAUUCAUCCUCAAAGCAUGCACUGAAGAAGGGAGGCUCAUACUCCACUGGCUGCAAGCCUGCAACAAUUAAGCUCAGGGAUUAUUAAAAAAAAACCACAAUUAAUUAAUUCCAAAUACAAAUGUAGAAACUUAAUUAAGACAUCAGAUAUCAGUUCUAUAAGGGGGUAUCAUCACAUCAUCAUAGUAGAGCGGCUUCACUGAUACAUUACGCUGUAACAAAUUAGGAAUAAUAGAUAUCUCAUUAGUUGAUAAUAAUGUGCCAUAAAUAAUAUUCAAUCAUGUGAAAAUACUUGAAAAAUUAAUCUUCAAAGUGCAAACUGAGACUAUAGCGAGUAUCACUACAGGCAUUUCCAAACCCUUAUUAUAUCUCGGACGCUUUUGCAAUUUACUAAGCAAUUUAGCAGGUGAGGUGCUGAAUGUAUAGUACAGAUGUGACAAGUUAAAUAAAUACAGUCUACACAAAAAUAGAAAGAUAAAUGAAAUUUAAUUAUUGAUGUUGAUUAAAUUAAAUGAAACUGCAUAUAAAGGAAGACAUGUUCCAAUGUCUGUAUAAUCCUCUCAAUAAAUAUCUCAAGAGUAAGAACAUAAAAAAAAAAGAGAAAAUAGAUAUGAAAAUAAAGCCUUAAUUACAGGAAUAUUCUUCAAUCAAAGGCCCUUCAUUUUCAUAAAGAAUUUUCCACACCGAAAAAACGAACUACAUUGCAUGCCUACCGAAAAAUUAAAUAAAAAUUGUUUUUAAUUUCGAAUAGCGAGCCCAAAUUUUCUAUUUCCAGAAGAAAUCUUAUGCUGUUGAAAAGUUUCAUAUUAGGAAUCAUUUACUGCUAGUGUCAGUGAAGUCUCCUUAGUGAUCUGCGGUUUCUUCACUCGUGAUCUACCAGACUUGAAACGAUAAUCAUAUAAUGAGAUAAGUAUUAACUGUUAAUUGAACUGUAGAAUCUCAAAAAUGAGUAAACGGAUUACAAAUUAAUUAUGACGAGUUUGUGUAUCCCUUGGAUUAAAAUAUCAAGAUUUAUUAGGUCUAUAUAAUUAAUUUGAUAUUUUAAUAUCUUCAAUUUGGUAUAUCAGAAUAUUAAGAUUUAUUGGGUCUUUAUCAAGAGCCGUCGCCAAUUGAUCAUUUCAUGGGGUUUGAUACAGCCACAGAACUAAGAUAAAAUUUCAUAGGUAGACUAUUACGGUUACUCCACCAUAAAACAAACGAUAUUUUGAAAAGAAAAUUAAGACUCUGGUAGUUAAUUUGCCUCGUAAUUAAUUAUUGCGGACAAACCAUCACAAAAAUUUUUCAAUUAUUAUUUACUUUUCCAUUUUCUUUAAGGGUGAGACUACUUACAUUUUAAAAAUUACUUUGAAUAUUUUUUAUUUUGAUAAAUUACUUUAUUACAAAAAUACUUAUCAUAUGAAUUACUAAUAAAGACUGUAUCUUUUAUAAACUAAUAUAAUAUUAUUACUCUGAACACUCAUAUAGCAUAGUCAAUAUUCAAUAUAUAAUUUCUUGCUAUAAAUUCUAAAAAUCUCAACCACAAUCUCUUAGAGAAUGUUUAAUUAAACAAGGGGCAAGUCAAUACUUAAAAUAUAUUUAGAACAUUUUUUGCUUUUUAUUUUUUUUUAAAAGUAUGUUUUCGUAGUCUUUUCCUUCUUCUUUUUUUUAGGGGGGGGGGGGGGGGGGGGAAGGGGACUAAAUGGCCCUUUUGUUAGGUUAAAAAGUUGGGGUGUGAAAAUCAAUAUUGUACAUAUUCUUUAAUAGACAAAAACUAAUAAUUAAAAUUUAUGUUAAAGAAUUUGUUUAGAACAAAAUUUGAUUCUAUUGUUGUACAUACUAAAUUGUUAUUAAUUCAUUUUGUACAAAUGCUCGUUUAGUCCCUAUAUUUUAACUUUAGUGCUUAUUUAAUACCUAUAUUUUAAAAAACGCCUCAAGAUACCUAUACUAUUAAAUAUGUUGUACUCUUUUCCUUACUUUUUCUUAGCUUUUACAAUAAUACCCAACAAUAUUUUUUACAUUAAUUGUUUAAUCUAUAAAAAAAGUUACUUAGCAAAUUAACUAAUAAUUAAACAUCAAUAUCAAACAAGCGGUACUUUUUAUACCCUUACAAGAAUCUUGCUGAUCAUUAUUUAUAAAUAAAUUAAUAAUAGCCAAUUUAAAGUAAUGUUUAAUAUCCUUUCAACAACAUUACCAAUAAUGUUUUGUUAAAAAAUUAAUUUACUAAAUUAAUCCUAAAUAUAAAAUAAUAGCAACUAAUUUUUAUUUUACUUUUAUGGCUAAUUUAAUAAAUUUAUUUUUUUCAUUAAUAUCUUUAAGAAUAUUGUUGCAAAGAUAUUAUUAUAAAAGUGAAGAACAAGCUCAAUUAAAAUAAAUAAUGCAAGCUAGUACUAAAUACCUAUUAUAAUUUUAGAAUAGUUUAUUAAAAUAAAAAGGGAAAAGGACAUCUACACAUGCAUUAUUUAUUAUGCAUUACUAAAUACCUAUUUAUUAUACUGUUAAACUUGAGCCGUUCAUCCGUUAUCUAUACAUGCAUUAUUUAUUAUGGUACCUCAGCAUCAUUUUAUCUCCAAGUGCAAAUGCUGAAAAUUAAUUAAGAGGUAAGUAAGGCAUCAGUUAAAUUUGCACCCUACUACCCUGUACUUUUUAUCAAUCAAUACACCUGGUGAGUCCCUAAAAUUUGCACCCUAACAACAACAGCUAGCCACAAUUAGUCAUGAACACCAAAAAGUCCGCGCAGGAUGUGUAAAAUGGACAUGUCUAUGACAUCAUUUUUAUAACUAUAAAAGUAAUAAAAUAUUCUCCUAAAUAUAUUAACCAAUGCGAUUUUGAUUAUUAAAAAAUAUAAUUUCAUUAAAAAUUCAUCGGUCUUACUAAAAUAUGUAAGAAACACGUAAAGUAAUGCACAUAACUUUUUUUUAUUUUUUUAAAGGAGGGGUGCAACAUGAGGACUUCUCAAGAGGUCACUCAUCUUAGUACUGUUCUCGCCCAAGCAUGCUUAACUGCAGAGUUCUGAUGGGAUCCCGUGCAUUAGUGAUGGUAUGGUCGCACCCAAGCAAUGGACAUAACCUUAAUUUUUCAAAUGUUCUUCAUUUUUUUUUAAUCCUUUUGGAUAUCGUGAGAUCUUUAAUAAGGUGGGAAUCAGAGGGGGCCAAGUUCGUUUGGACAGUCCUUCAAAAUAUACUUUUAACUAGUCAAGAAAAAGAUUAGGAGUUGUAAUAUUAACGAAAUUUUAGUAUUGAUAAAUAUGUACGACAGAUUAUUAAUACUAAAUUGAACUUAAAAUGUAUUUAUUAUUACUUUGAUUUUAUUAUAAUUCUAUUUAUUAUAAAACAAUAAACUGAAAUCAAUUUUUGUUCAGAGUCCAACAAUAAAAUAAUCGAAAGGGCCAUUUCCGAGACUAUUUUUUAAACAUUAAGGUCUAUGUCCAUAAUUAAAUAAAUUAUGGAAUAUAAAUAUCCUUUUCCUUCAUAAUUACCGCCAAAUUACUCCCAAUCUCCACGCGCAUUAAAUUUGGUUGGUAUGCUUUGAUCGUCGGUUCGUCUUCAUGUUUACAAUUAUUUACUUUUUGGACCACGUUUGGCACAUGCCGAAAUUGAAUCUUAGCCCUUAAUCUUACCGACUAAUUGUACGAUAAAACUUGAACCGUUGAUGCCUUAUCUAUACUUUGCAACGUCACAAUCACCCCCGUUUGGCACAUGCCGAAAUUGAAUCUUAGCCCUUAAUCUUGCCGGCUAAUUGUACUAGAGAACUUGAACCGUUGAUGCCUUAUCUAUACUCUGCAACGUCACAACUACCCACUUUGGCACCGUAGGCGACUUGAUCUCUAUAUAUCAUGCCAAAUCAGAAGCAAGAACUCGCUCAAGUACUUAUUUUUUAAUAUAGUGCACUCGAAGCUAGCAAAGAUCUUUUCUGACUUGAAGAAUAUGAAAACUCUUGCUGGCGCAGGUAUUUAGGCCUACUUCAGUUUCUUUUUUGAGAAGGGCCAACUUCAGUUGAAUAUCAUUUAUAAUUCUUUUUUUAAUAUAUGCAUUUAUGAAUAUAUUUUUCAAUAUAAAAUUUUUAGGUAUGAGCGAUCCGUCAGAAGGUUUGGUACUCCCUUCCAGUAUUGCUGAUGAUGAUGUUGGAAAUGACAAUCUUGAUCUUAUUGUUAUUCCUCAAUAUGGGAGAAAUCCUGAUUAUUAUGGGUAAGUGUCUGCAAUCUGGAUGAUGAUAUAUGUAAUUAAAUAAAAGGAUGGGUACAGUUAUUACCUAUCAAUCAUAAGAGUGUCAAUUUAGUUCAGUUCACUAAUAAAAAUCUCUUAUACAAGAGAUUAUCUUUGUUUGCGUUCAUGUACUUUGUCUUCUUUAAUUAAUAAAUAAAAUUAUUGUGUAUCAAUGUGUUGAUUAAAUUAGUACAUUAAUAGAUAUAAAAUCAUUUGAAUUUGUCCACA